CCUGGCGACCAUAGCGUUUUGGACCCACCUGAACCCAUUCCGAACUCAGAAGUGAAACGAAAUAGCGUCGAUGGUAGUGUGGGGUUUCCCCAUGUGAGAGUAGAACAUCGCCAGGC
rnacentral:rRNA from 1 species